CAUUCUGGUGGUAAAACCGAUGGCUACACGUCUCUAUACCAAGUCAUGAGUUAUAGCGAAGCCAAGCCGCCGUCUAUAGGCGAAGGGACGAAAUCCCGACGAAGGCCUAUGCUACAGUAAGCAAAAAACUAGGUUGAGGUUAUGAAGUCACUUAGCUGUAUACUAUACAAAUGGAAAGGCGUCGGUACGGAGUCACGUUAGCUGUGGAUAUAGACUAGGCUAUAAGGAACGGAGUCUUAAACUAUGGACCGAGACCACACUAAGGAACAAGGAAGCUUGACUGAGAAAAGAAGUCAAGGAACGAAACAACUUCUCUAAUAGCCCCGUUGAAUAGGUAGGCGAAGGCUUUU
rnacentral:lncRNA from 1 species